rnacentral:rRNA from 1 species
CCGUGAUGAACUAACCGUCUGUCGCUGGGAAGAACGAGAAUAAAACUUUGAUAUAUGUAUGUGGGGUUUUUUUAUUUUAAUUAAAGUAAUUAAUUAAUAUUCUUAAUUUUAGGGUAGUUUUGAAUUACAUAUUCUUGUAUUUAAUUAUAAGAAAUAGUAAUUUUUUAUAAAAAUUUAAAAACAUUUAUGUUAAGAUAUUUAGUAUUCAGUUAACUCAUUUAAGUAACAUCUCAAAAGUCAUAGCAAGGUAGCUUGUACUGGAA